AUUUCUUCUUUGCAUCCAUUCAUUUCCGAAGCUGCCUCGAUCUGCUGGCUUCUGUCCUCUCUCUGCAGGCCUGAUUAUUUCUUGUUUUGUCCGUCAGAUUCAUUUAGAUCGCGAGGCGAUCUACGUCGUGGUUAUGCCUGCUAGAUUUUCUCAAUUUGAUAGCGCCGUCCCUUGGUUUAUACCCUGGCUGCCGUUGUGAAACUUGCGUUUCUUAUGCGCUGCUGCGGCUGUGAAACGACGAGGCUUUGCUGGAUCUGCGACCGUGCUGGAUGGAUCAUUGAAGAAUCGCUUUUCCGUAAUUGAUUGGAAAUCAUUUUUAUGGAUCUGGAAACACGUAGCAUCUGGUUAAGACACGAUCAUCAGAUCGUGAGAUCGUGGAUAUUGACCGGUAUGGAGUCAUCGACUUUUAUCCAUCAAUUUGUCGGUCUACGGUGCUCAGGUGGACUGGCCGAGUUGCCCAAGGGAAGUGAUUUGUUUUGUGUCGUGUUUAUUCAUGCGUUCUUGCUGUCUGUAGUCUUGGCUAAUUGUUGAGGUAUCAGACUGUAAAAAAUGGAAAAAUGAGUGAGUGAAGUGAGGUGAGAUGUGAAAAGUGAGGUGAGAUGUGGUUGUCUGCAUGACCUUUGCCAUGAUGGGUGCGCUCGCAUGGCAGGUCGCCCGUUAAUAAAAGUUUUCGUUUUUGGUUUUUAGGGGAGAUGGUACGGGGAUUUGCCCGGCUCUCCCCCUGUGUGUGGUGUCCUCUCGGCUCUCUCAACUCUCCCUGCCUCGUUUCUUGUCCAUAUUAUGCACGCUUACAAAGUACAAAUACAGUAAUCCAAUCACGCCAAAGUCGUUGUCUUGAAUGCGUUGAUAUUAAAAAAAGAGCCCAACCAGGAUCCAAGUAUUUCCAAUAUGUGAGAUGGUACUUGGGGAACAAGGCUUCAAGAGCAUCAACUACAACUGAGGUACAAAUUUGCAUUUUUUCAGUAUAACAUCGUCUUAUUAAUACUGCAACAGCGUUAACUAGGAAUUUGGUAUCUUUUACUUGGUUUAGUAGUUCAAAUUUUCUAAUUACUCUGGAAUGUAGGAAAUAAUCAUGAACAGAUGACAUGUAAUACGUACCCUUGCAUCCUCAGUUUUUAAUUACAGAACUUUUGUAUUUGUCAAACUGGAAACCUUAACCUUAAGUUUGUCGAAUCUUAUUACAGAGAUAAUAAUAAUCAGUAACCAACUGCAUUUGCACCUGCAUCGUUGUUACCCGUUUUUAACUGUUCACGUGAUCUAUGCAUCAUGUUUAACAAUCCGUUGUUUCACACUUCAACCUCUAUUGUUCGUUGUUUAAUACAUUCCGUUUCUGUUUUCCUUUGUUCCGCUAUGUAGCGGGCUCUAGCUAUUGCUUAUGAUUGUUGAUGUAUGUUGGCUUAUCACUAUCAACCACCUGUAUGGUUGAAGGAACUCGUCUUUCUGUAGUCUGUAGUUUAAAGCUAUAGCAUGGUUGUAAUAGAUCAGCUAUUCAGUAGAGGUUGUUUGCUUAUUGGAUGUGGAGUAUUGCCUCUUCUAUUGAGCGAGUCCUCUUGAGGAGGUUCUCGCGUAAUACCUGUCUUGUGUCUGGCGUGCCCUGGGAUGCUGGAUGCAUUGAUGAUGUGCUGCUGCUGUGGCGUUUAACUGUGGUUUACUCAUCCAGUUCGUCUCUUCUCUACCCCUUUGGGACUGGCUGUCUUGAUGAUGUGCUGCUGUUGUGGUGUUUAGCUUUGGUUUUCUGCCAUUUGUGAUCUGCUGCUGCGAGUGCUGUGAUGAUGCUGCGGUGGUGGUGUAAUUAUUGCUACUUGAGUAAAUUUUCCAAGGCUAUGGUGAUUCUUCUCAUUGGUACUUACUUCAGUUGCAUAUAAUCAUGUGCUUCAUUUGGCUCUCCAAAUGUUUGGGCGUUUCAAAGUUGUUUGGGAUGUUUGAAGCGAUCUGGAGUUUCUUGUUGUUGGAUUAAUAUGGCAAAUUGGGUGUGGUUAGUCAGUUGGGGAUUUGAAGUUAAGAUACAUAGUUAGAACUUGGAAGAUGCAGCGAAUUGACCUAUUUUAUUGCCUUUGGGAAGAGUGUUUAUUUGGUUAGAAUUUAUCAUCUGUUACAAAAAUAUUCCAAGGAUAAGUUAUUUUGGCAUUUUAAUUAUUAUUAUAUUUAUCAAAAUAAAAUGAAAUUUAAAAAGCCAUCUAACUCAAAAUGCUUUUUUCUAUAUCAACCGUAAAAUGCCUAGCAUUAUUUUUUAAAAGUAUGUAUUUCACUUGAGAUCGCCUGAUUUAUUAGAUAUGGUAUUAAAUGGUUAAUUGAGUCGGUCGUGGAUUAUGGUAAAUUUAUUUAUUGAUGGUUUGGUAAGUAGAAAAAAUAUGUUGAAUGGAUCCAUAAGCUCGAACGGGAGAGGACUCAAUAGCUUUCACGCUUGAGGUCGGUGGUUCGAAUCCGCCUGGAUCCCUACCGUUUGUAUUAACAGAAUUGUCCUACAUUUAGUUUUUCUUCUUGAGUCCCACUUGAAAGUAAUUUUUUUUAAUUUUCAAAAAUGAUUUCAAAUGUCUAUAAAGUUGGUUAUUAACCUUUUCCUUUCCAUGAUUUUAUUUUAACGUGCAUUUGAUGUAUAACUAUUGUAUUUCGAUAUUCUUUUUAAAGUAUAUAUGAUGAGAUAAACUACACUUGGUUUUACAUUAUUAACAAAAAUCUUAAUAGUUACAGUUAAACAUCUAAUUUUAGAAACUAAGAUUGAAUAAAGGUAUGAAUUUUGCUUUGGUAGAUAUUUAAAGCUUAUUAGUGUGAGAAAGAGGAAUUUAACAUUUCAGUUGUUUGUAAACGCAUGGUUGGUACUUUUCUGCUUCUAGAAAAAUAUCGAAAAUAAGGGAUUUUUGGUAAACCGCAAUUUUCGGUAAGGUAUCAUACCUUAUCGAUUUAUUUCGAUACGGUAACGAUAUGAAUUUUCAUGUACCGAAGUAUACCCGGAUAUACCGAAAAUAUGAUAUAUACCGUAAUUUUCAGUAUAUACCGAUAUCAAUAUAUACCAAAUUAUAUCCAGUAAAUUCAUACUUUUAUCAAACAAAUAAAUAUUUACAUGUAGAAAUAAAAUCUUGCCUCAUUGUAGUUGUAUGCUAAUCAUGUAAAUAUAAAAUUAAAUAAACCCAAAUAGGAAAACUUGAUAUCGUUGAAUCAAUUAGUUUCAAACAAAUAUAAGAUUUUAGUUAAAUUAUUUUCAAACAAAUAUAGUUGAACAUUGUGUGAUUGCGUGGAGAUUAAUUGUUGCAGUGUUUUUUAACAUUAUUUGAAUAUGUUUGAGUUUGAUUAAAUUUCACGUUUUCUAAGUAUUUUGAAAUAUUAUUUUCAUUGUUUUUGUAUUUAGAGUUAUUUAUAAAAUAAUGAUAUUUUAGUAUCUCGUACCGUAGUCCGAUAUACCGUAAAACUCUGGUAUAGUACGGUAUACCGAAUUUUGGUAUGACAUACUGAAAAUAAGGUAUGGUAUCGGUAUUGAAAUUUGUCAUACUGAAAAUAAGGUAUACCGAAGUUCGGUAUACCAAAAAUUUUGGUAAGGUAAAUCUAUGAUUUUUUCUCAUACCGAAUUUUCGGUAAGGUAUACGGUAUGAUGGUUUCUGUAAGGUAUACCUUACCUACCCACCCCUCUAGUUAAUUAGAAUGAUAAUUAAUUAACUAAUGACUAACACAAAAUUGACUAUCAAUUUUUGUCAGAAAACUGCUAAUUAUAACUUAACUAUACUCCUUAUUUACAUUUAGGAUUAGAAGGACAAACUUAAUAUACAAUUUAUGAUAUUUUAUACAUAAUCAAAAGUCACCAUUAUUUAGGAUUAGAAGGUAAAGACGAUGAAAUCAAAUUUUUAAAAUAAUAUAGAUGACCAAAUUUAGAUUUUACUCUAUUUUGAUAUUAGACUAGAUAAUUAAAACGUUUCUUAAUUAAAAUGUGACAAUAUAAUUAAAUAACAUUGUAGUUGAAACAUAUGAGGUGAAUUUGAAUUGGCGUCUACACCGUCUAAUUAAGAUCUCAAAUAAGGAAACAAACUAUUGCAGAUUCCAUAAUUAUUAAAGUGUAGAGCUUUUAUAAUUACAAAUUUACAAUAUCUUUACGAAAGCUAAAUUUCCUAAAAUAAACCCACCACCGAAACUUUUCCAAGUUCGAGUUCGAUUAGUAAUCAAUAAAUCCAAAGUAAUACAAAGCGUCUAGAAAUUUAUAUUAAAAAUUCAUUCUAGAAAUUCAUCCCUAUACAAGUUGCAUACGCCAAAACAUAGAGAAUUAUCAAUCACGAGGAUGAGGAGAUUACCAAAGAAGAACAUAGUUUCAUAUCUUCAAACCAUUCCUCGUGAAUUGACGACGCAUAUUCUGUCUCGAGUUGCAGCAUCUUCCGCAGCCGACAUCUCUAGCAUUAAGCAAAGUUGUAAAGAAUUAAGUGAAAUUGCUGAAGAUUCAUAACAUGCAAGUUUAAACAAAUUUCCAAUUGUUGAAUGGAGUCCAUUAUGUGAAAAGAAACAAAAGUUUCUCAACAAAGAAAGCUCAAGUCCUGAAAUCUAGUAUAGGGAAGCACCGGUUAAACCACCAACGGCGGUGAGCAGUAAAAGUUUCAACCCAACCAAAAACGGACAACAAGAUCACCAAACAAGAACAACCAUCAAGCCAAAAAACCAAGACACAAAAGAAACGAACGACAAAAUUACUACCAACACACCUCUCACCAACAAAGAAUGCAACAAAGAGGCAAAAACAACACCAUCAAAAGGCGAGAACUAUCCCAACUGUAAGCAAAAGAGGGCAACAGAGGCGAGAUGAAGUUCACCUUUGGAACAUUUGGCAAGUGGUAUUGAUUCUUCAAUAACUUCUAGACUAUCUUCUUGUUUUGACCAGCUCAUCACACAUUUUUCCUGGUAGGAAAGGAAAGUUCGGGUACCACCCUUUAAUCCAUGAGCCGAGUCUCCACAAAAUGAGUCUUCUUUCAACAUUCCAAUUUGGCUCAAAAUUUUGGAAAACCACUUUAAUUUGUUUCUAAUUCACCAUAUAGACCACGAAAUCACAUAGAAAAGGGAUGUCCACAUCUUCUUAUCAAACUUGUAGAAAGAUGCAUCCAUCCAAGUGAGAAUGCACACAAGAUCGGGUCUUCGGGCAAGCUGAAGGCGAGAUUCCAUUGGUUACAACAAAAAUAUCACAAACUGGUAGAGUACUUACACCCAAAUAUUAUGUGAUUGAUAGUCUCUCGCCCCUCCUUGCAAAAAAAUGCAUAAAUCAUCUGUAAUUUCGAAAACUCCGAAUCUGAAAAGUUUAUCCUUAUGUGGAGUUUCCCUUAUAGGAUAAACCAAACCAAAAAUUGGGUAUGAGUUUCCCUUGUAGGAUAAACCAAACCAAAAGUUGUGCAUGAGAUGGGACAACUCUAAACUAGAAUACCAAACAAUGUGUAAACAAUUAAAUACUUCCAAAGAUUUGUUGAAGCUUAUCUUUUUAUAUUUUAAAAUUGAAUAUGAAAGAGAUCCACAUUUAUGUUAUUA